rnacentral:tRNA from 1 species
GGGAGUAGAUGUGGUUCAAGUGGUUGAACACCUGCUUCUCAUGUAUGAGGUCCUGGGUUCAAUCCCCAGUACUUCCU